rnacentral:rRNA from 1 species
GACAGAGGGUGCAAACGUUGCUCGGAAUCACUGGGCGUCAAGGGCGUGUAGGCGGGAGGGGGAGUCGGGCGUGAAAUCCCUGGGCUCAACCCAGGAACUGCACUCGAAACUUCUUUUCUUGAGUGCCGGAGAGGAAAGCGGAAUACCUGGUGUAGAGGUGAAAUUCGUAGAUAUCAGGUGGAACACCAGUGGCGAAGGCGGCUUUCUGGACGGUAACUGACGCUGAGACGCGAAAGCGUGGGGAGCAAACAGG